rnacentral:rRNA from 1 species
UACAGAGGUCUCAAGCGUUGUUCGGAAUCACUGGGCGUAAAGCGCACGUAGGCGGAUGUGUCAGUCAGGGGUGAAAUCCCGGGGCUCAACCUCGGAACUGCCUUUGAUACAGCACGUCUCGAGUCCGGAAGAGGUGGGUGGAAUUCCUAGUGUAGAGGUGAAAUUCGUAGAUAUUAGGAAGAACACCGGUGGCGAAGGCGGCCCACUGGUCCGGUACUGACGCUGAGGUGCGAAAGCGUGGGGAGCAAACAGG